rnacentral:rRNA from 1 species
CCUACGGGGGGCAGCAGUGAGGAAUAUUGGUCAAUGGCCGGAAGGCUGAACCAGCCAUGCCGCGUGAAGGUCAGUGCCCUAUGGGCGUUAAACUUCUUUUGUGCGGGAGCAAUAAUGGUCACGUGUGGCCAGACGAGAGUACCGUACGAAUAAGCAUCGGCUAACUUCGUGCCAGCAGCCGCGGUAAUACGGGGGAUGCAAGCGUUAUCCGGAUUUAUUGGGUUUAAAGGGUGCGUAGGCUGUGAGGUAAGUCAGCGGUGAAAUGCCCCCGCUCAACGGGGUGAAGUGCUAUUGAUACUGCCUGGCUGGAGUGCGGAUGCGGUGGGAGGAAUGUGUGGUGUAGCGGUGAAAUGCAUAGAUAUCACACAGAACACCGAUUGCGAAGGCAUCUCACGAAUCCGCGAUUGACGCUGAUGCACGAAAGCGUGGGUAUCAAACAGGAUUAGAUACCCUAGUAGUC